AGAGCACUGCAUUGAAAGGGAUCUGAGGCUACAUCUGCACUCAGUGGCAAAGAGUGUUGUGAUCAAUUAGUAAUGUCUGCCACAGGCAGAGAAAUGAGCUGUGAAUAAUGUGCCAUCUUUGCCCUACAAGUCUAUGUUGAAAAUGAUGCAUUAUUCAAGAAAGAGGAGGGAAAAAGUAAGGUAUUGAUAUCAUAAUAUGUUAUACAAGCAUACAAAUGAAUGUCUUCAUAUUUUUGAUAGCAUAAAUUCCAGGCUGUAUUGUGUUUUUUAAAAGGCAAGUUUGGAGAAUAAACUGUAUACUACA
rnacentral:lncRNA from 10 species